AGUGGGUGGUAAAUUUCAUCUAAAGCUAAAUAUAGGCUUGAGACCGAUAGCAAACAAGUACCAUGAGGGAAAGAUGAAAAGGACUUUGAAAAGAGAGUUAAAAGUGCUUGAAAUCGCUGAAAGGGAAGCGAAUGGAACCAGUCUUCUGGCUGAGAUUGUUGCGUGCUACUGUGAUGCCUGGCUGCUUCAACGCAAGUGUGGCAGUUAGAGUUGAUCAGCUGUGCGUGAUGUUUCUCAGCUUGUUAGUCAACCUUUGUUCGUGCUUGGGGAUAACUGCGGGUUCCAUGUUCUUCUCUGCGGAGUUGAGCUCGUGCCUGUAAGGACUCAGGUGUGUACAAUUGGUGACAAAAUGGUUCUCUUCGACCCGUCUUGAAACACGGACCAAGGAGUCUAGCACAUGUGCAAGUUCACAGGUGGCAAGCCUGCUUGCGCAAUGAAGGUGACUGCUGGGAUAUUUGCACCAGCAACCGACCAAUCAAUUGAGAGAAGUUUGAGUAUGAGCAUAUGUGUU
rnacentral:rRNA from 1 species